GUUUCUGCUUCUUUCCAAGAUUCGUCUUUGCUGAAAUUCGUGGAGUGGAGCUUGUUGUUGGUGUUUGUGUUUGAAGAAACUGUGGAGUCCUGCCUCCUUCCAGGAAGCCGCUCACCUGUGUGUCCGUGUUUAGUGUCCAGGUGUGGAGUGGAGCUUGUUGUUGGUGUGUGUGUUUGAAGAAAUUGUGCAGGUAGAAAGUGUGUGUGAGCUGAAUUGAGCAGCAUGGAUCAGUGUGAGGACA